AUGUAUUUUGUACUCGUCGAAUAAAAAAUGGCCACACAAUAGAGUUGUGUGUAGUCUUGUUAUAUAAUAAUAAUAUUUACUUAAAAUUACGUAAUUUGUAUCCGAAAAUAUUUGCAAGAAACAUAAUGUUAGGUAUACAGGUUUUACAUUCAAAAUAUUCGUAAAUAACUUACAUUUUUUAAAAUGAACAAACUAAAAUUAUUAAUUAAAUAAAGUAUUAACAUAGUUUUUACUCGAAACGCUAUUUGUUUCAACAGUUCAACAAUGUAUUUGUUGUACGCGUUGUUACCAUCUGUUUGCGACGGUUGCCGUUUGCAGUGAAUAAAAAACAAUUUUGUUUAUUUAUCUUAUCACUCUACUACUAUAGUAUCAUUUUCCAGCAACAUUAAUAAUAAAAUAUAUUCAUAGGUAUUCAUCGUAUAUUAAUUUACUCAAUCCAUUAAACAACAAGGAUAUUUUGUCCCCAUAAUUUUUCACUCGAUAAACAAAAAAACAUAGGUUAACUACAUCUAAAAUUUUAAUAAAAAAAUAAGUGAUACCCCAACAAAAAUCCUUCGUCAACUACAUAUAAAAACCUCGCUAAGAAAAUAAAAAACGUAAGUUAGAAAAGUUGUGAUAUCAAAAAGGAGGCUAGGUAAUUUCUUAAAUACAUUGUUAUAGAAAUUGUUUAUAAUUAUUUGUAUUUGAUGAAGCGCGAUAAUUUAAAACAAAUAAUUUCACUUAGCUUGGCAACUACUCAUAGUAUGCACUCAAAUAGUAUUAUGGUAAUAU